UGUCCAGCAACUCCUAUCCCUACCUCCCCGUGGUACUGGCCCUUAACCUUAGGGAAGAUCGGAUAACCAACCCCAGUGGGAACUCUGGUCGUAUGCUAACAGGGAAGU
rnacentral:ribozyme from 1 species